AACGAACGUUAGCGGCGCGCCUAACACAUGCAAGUCGCACGAGAAAGGGCUUCGGCCCCGGUAAAGUGGCGCACGGGUGAGUAACACGUGGGUAACCUUCCCUCGAGCGGGGAAUAACAUUCCGAAAGGAGUGCUAAUACCGCAUAAGACCACGGCUUCGAAAGGAGCUGAGGUAAAAGCUGGCCUCUUCAUGAAAGCUAGCACUCGAGGAUGGGCCCGCGGCCCAUCAGCUUGUUGGUAGGGUAACGGCCUACCAAGGCUAAGACGGGUAACUGGUCUGAGAGGAUGAUCAGUCACACUGGAACUGAGACACGGUCCAGACUCCUACGGGAGGCAGCAGUGGGGAAUCUUGCGCAAUGGACGAAAGUCUGACGCAGCGACGCCGCGUGGGUGAUGAAGGCCUUCGGGUUGUAAAGCCCUGUGGGGAGAGACGAAUAAGUCUUGGCUAAUAUCCAAGAUGAUGACGGUAUCUCCUUAGCAAGCACCGGCUAACUCUGUGCCAGCAGCCGCCGUAACAC
rnacentral:rRNA from 1 species